rfam:Eucalyptus grandis cultivar BRASTZ1 unplaced genomic scaffold scaffold_6, whole genome shotgun sequence.
UAAAAGGCCUCAUUUGAGGCCACUCCACCAAGAAGCAAAUUUUUA